rnacentral:rRNA from 1 species
CAAUAGCGUAUAUUAAAGUUGUUGCAGUUAAAAAGCUCGUAGUUGGAUUUGUGGCGUACGGUGUGUUCCGGGCACUUGUUGUCUGAGUAACCUGCUGUUGCCAUCCUUGGGUGGAACCUGUGUGGCAUUAGGUUGUCGUGCAGGGGAUGCCCAUCAUUUACUGUGAAAAAAUUAGAGUGUUCAAAGCAGGCUUAUGCAGUUGAAUAUAUUAGCAUGGAAUAAUGAGAUAGGACUUUUUUGCUAUUUUGUUGGUUUGCGCAAAGAGGUAAUGAUUAAUAGGGACAGUUGGGGGUAUUCGUAUUCCAUUGUCAGAGGUGAAAUUCUUGGAUUUUUGGAAGACGAACUACUGCGAAAGCAUUUACCAAGGAUGUUUUCAUUAA